rnacentral:rRNA from 1 species
UACGGAAGGCAGCGGUGGGGAAUAUUGCACAAUGGGCGAAAGCCUGAUGCAGCUAUGCCGCGUGUAUGAAGAAGGCCUUAGGGUUGUAAAGUACUUUCAUCGGGGAGGAAAAAACAAAACUAAUAAUUUUAUUUCUUGACGUUACCCGAAAAAGAAGCACCGGCUAACUCCGUGCCAGCAGCCGCGGUAAUACGGAGGGUGCUAGCGUUAAUCAGAAUUACUGGGCGUAAAGAGCACGUAGGUGGUUUUUUUAAAGUCAGAUGUGAAAUCCCUGGGCUUAACCUAGGAACUGCAUUUUGAAACUGAAAUACUAGAGUAUCGUAGAGGGAGGUAGAAUUCUAGGUGUAGCGGUGAAAUGCGUAGAUAUCUGGAGGAAUACCUGUGGCGAAAGCGGCCUCCUAAACGAAUACUGACACUGAGGUGCGAAAGCGUGGGGAGCAAACAGGGAUUAGAUACC